GGCCCUGUGGCUUAGUUGGUCAAAGUGCCUGUCUAGGAAACAGGAGAUCCUGGGUUCAAAUCCCAGCAGUGCCU
rnacentral:tRNA from 1 species